UUUUCCCUCGCCACCAUCUACACAACCUCCAGUCUACUGCCCACGAUCCCCAUAUCCACCAUCUCCUCCAUCCUUCUCCCCAUAUCCACCAUCUCCUCCAUCCUUCUCCCCAAACCCACCUCUCACUCACCCCAACUCCCCUCCACCGCCAUCACCGCCGGUACCUGUUCAUUCUCCCCCUCCCCCUCUUCAUACAACCCCAUCGCCGCUUCCUCUUCCUUGCAUUCAACCUCCUCCACCAAAUGUUCAAUAUCCAGAACCGCCACCCUCUCCUUCACCAACCCCGUCAUCUCCAAUUCACUACAAUACCCCACCACCGCCGGUCCAUUACCAAGCUCCUCCCUCACCUUCACCGCCCGUCCACAUAUAUCCGCCGCCAUCUCCAACGCCCCCUCCUCCAAUAGUUUACGAAAACCCACCACCGCCCGUUGUCUACCAAAGCCCACCGCCGCCUCCAACUCCAGUAUACGGAGGCCCACUGCCACCAAUCUACGGAGUUCCGUACGCCUCUCCUCCUCCACCACCCUUCUAUUAGUUAUUUCAUCUUUCCGGC
rnacentral:lncRNA from 1 species